rnacentral:rRNA from 1 species
GUGCCAGCCGCCGCGGUAAGACGAACCGUGCGAACGUUGUUCGGAAUCACUGGGCUUAAAGGGCGCGUAGGCGGCUUAUCAAGUCAGGGGUGAAAUUUUGCGGCUUAACCGUAACAGUGCCUUUGAUACUGAUAGGCUCGAGGGAGAUAGGGGUCUGCGGAACUUCCGGUGGAGCGGUGAAAUGCGUUGAUAUCGGAAGGAACGCCGGUGGCGAAAGCGGCGGACUGGAUCUCUUCUGACGCUGAGGCGCGAAAGCUAGGGGAGCAAACGGGAUUAGAUACCCUCGUAGUCC